rnacentral:rRNA from 1 species
GACGAACGCUGGCGGCGUGCUUAACACAUGCAAGUCGAACGGUGAAGCGCCUUCCUUUUUGGUGGGUGUGGAUGAGUGGCGAACGGGUGAGUAACACGUGAGUAACCUGCCCCCUUCUUCUGGAUAACCGCAUGAAAGUGUGGCUAAUACGGGAUAUUCUGGGUCUGUCGCAUGAUGGGUCUGGGAAAGAUAUUGUUUCGGUGGGGGAUGGGCUCGCGGCCUAUCAGCUUGUUGGUGGGGUGAUGGCCUACCAAGGCGGUGACGGGUAGCCGGCCUGAGAGGGUGGACGGUCACACUGGGAAGGAGACACGGCACAGACUCCUACGGGAGGCAGCAGUGGGGAAUAUUGCACAAUGGGCGCAAGCCUGAUGCAGCGACGCCGCGUGAGGGAUGGAGGCCUUCGGGUUGUGAACCUCUUUCGCCAGUGAAGCAGGCCUGCCUCGUUUGUGGGUGGGUUGACGGUAGCUGGAUAAGAAGCGCCGGCUAACUACGUG